UACGUAUGGAGCGAGCGUUGUCCGGAAUUAUUGGGCGUAAAGGGUGCGCAGGCGGCUUUACAAGUUGGAUGUGAAAUAUUGUGGCUCAACCACAAACGUGCAUCCAAAACUGCAAAGCUUGAGUUAAGGAGAGGUAAGUGGAAUUCCUGGUGUAGCGGUGGAAUGCGUAGAUAUCAGGAGGAAUACCGGUGGCGAAGGCGACUUACUGGACUUAAACUGACGCUCAGGCACGAAAGCGUGGGGAGCAAACAGGAUUAGAU
rnacentral:rRNA from 1 species